rnacentral:rRNA from 1 species
GUUGAGUGUUUCAGUGAAGAUACAAUACAUAGAGUAUCUGAUAAAUACGGUCCAAGUAUGAUAACUUAUCACUGUUCUUACUAAGACUCUUUAGUCCACAGGUCUCCUGAGACUAGGUCCCCGGAGCUGGAGUGUGGUAGUUACGUUAUCCAUUAAUGGCGUUGUACAUUCGUCCAGUGCAUAGAAUCAAAAGACAAUAAAGACUAAUAAACAGAACCUUCUAGGAAAAAAGAAAAUGUCCGUCAACAUAACAAAACGUAAGCUAUAUUGAUUUUACUUCCCAUAUAAUCUCUGUGGUACAAGGAUAAAGAAAUGUCUUUUUUUCAUUUCGUACGUAUAUUUUGAAACUAGUUACUGAGUGACUUUUAACACGAAGGAAAAAGUGGACCAUAUAACCAGAAACAGUAAAACAAUCUUUAUAUCGAUCGAUCUAUUAUUUCCUACUUUAAAAGAGACUAUAUAUAUGAAAAUUUUGUGUAUACAAGCAUCGACUGAACCACGAAAUGAAAGUAAACUGAAAAUAUUGUUAAAUUACUAAACUAAGAAAGUACCUUGUUUGCUUUAUGUUCUGCCGACUUCGGACAUCUUGUAGCGUAAGCCAAAUGAUACACCAAUAAAGUAAUUCUAAUAACGUAGAGAAAAACAAGGUUAUUACAGUAAAAACGAAGAGUGAAACAUUGCUAAUAUGGCGUCUAGUCAAACACAACACGAAGAAUCAUAGAACGGUUAAGAUGAAGAACAAAGGUCUACAUUAAUGAAAAUUAUCGCGAAGUCAAGAUGAGGGAGGCAAGGUAUAAUCAACAGCGACUUUGCCUACAUAGAUCUGCAUAAAGUCACGAUCUAUGUAGGCAAACUCGCUGUUGAUUAUACCUUGCCUCCCUCAUGUUAGCUGUCAAAGUGUAGUACGUUCCCGAUCCGAGUUGGUGAACGGACAAGACAGUUUCCCGCGACUACAGAAUUUCGUCAUCAUAACCAAAAACUACUGGUUCAUCUUCCAAAACAUACAGUACCCGAACCGGCACUGCGGAACCUGGUCCGGCGUUGCAACUUAUACAGCAGGUACCGGAGAACACGGUGGUGGCGGUAAAGACGGAGCGUGACGUAGUUGGGGGAGGAAGUGGUCGGUGGCUAGUUUGGGUACUACGAUCGAAGGAACCUAAGAAGGCCAAGUUCAAGGAGUGGCUUAGUAGGUGGUGUACCUCUACUGACGAUAGUGCCAGUCUGGUUCCCGAUACAAGUCACGCUAAGAAUCGUUCUAAACAAACAGACUACGUUUCCUGCGUGCAAUAUCCUUGAUGUUGGCUGCACACCCACGUUGACACCAAAAGACCGGCAGGUACAACGUGAAAAGGCGUUACCGUCGUGGGUCCUUCUAGGUUCUGUCAGGUUGAUCCCUAUAAAAUUGUCAAACUUUAUUCCUUAACCUUGACGUCGUAGGACUUUAUGAACUGUUUGACGUACUUCUUCGUAGUUCCUGAACGAGGGGUACUUUGUUGAGGUGUUAUAGUAACAGUGUACGACAAAAUAAACGAUACUCGUAUCCUAGGAACGCUAACUGGGUCUGCUUCACUGAAAUCGUUUCGAACGGGAAAUGGGAUGAUUUCUCAAUGACAGAAAAACAUUGUCCUCAACAAGUAAAAAUAACGAGUCGUAUGGUGAAAACUCUGCUAUUCACUAUUACUAUCACCAACUAUUCAACAUAGCUCAGAGCGGAAUGGACAGGUGGGAUUUUGCACAAUAGUCGGUUACACAUUCACAUAUAUAACGUUACAUUUCGAGCAAUACCACAUUCAUAUAUGUACGUUACCGUUUGAGUAACACCGACAAUAUCAGCAAUAAUUAUCACAAAAUGGG